CACACAGAGACACUGUAGGCUGCACUCCCAGGUAGACAGGCAGGGAGACAGGCACACAGAGACACUCUAGGCUGCACUCCCAGGGAGACAGCCACACAGAGACACUCUCGGCUGCAGUCCCAGGUAGACAGGCAGGG